rnacentral:misc_RNA from 1 species
CGUAAGGAGCGCUUAAGGGUAAUACCGGUGACUGGGGCUAAGUCGUAACAAGGUAGCCGUACCGGAAGGUGUGGCUGGAACACCUCCUUUCUGGAGCUUACGGUGUUUGUAGUACGCGUUUCUUGUUUGGUUUUACCCUAUUUGGGUAUGCACUCGCAUUUGUUUCUUUAGAUUAGGUAUGUACGGGAAUAGAUGGCACAGGAGCAGAUCUGCAGGGUUGAAGGCAUAUGCCAGUGCUGUUGCAUUACAGUCCUAUAGCUCAGUUGGUUAGAGCGCUACACUGAUAAUGUAGAGGUCGGCAGUUCAACUCUGCCUGGGACUACGGAGUAGUUAUGGGGGAUUAGCUCAGCUGGCUAGAGCACCUGCUUUGCAAGCAGGGGGUCAUCGGUUCGAAUCCUGAUAUUCUCCACGUUGAUGGGCCCGUUUGAUUUUUGGUUCAUCGAGCGAUCUUUGACAUAUUUAGUAACUCAAGAAUAAACAACUAGAGUAGAGCCGCUACGAUAUUAUAUUGUAGCGAAUAGAAUAAAAGUAAUCUGCAAAAGCAAAUUAAUUACUCAACAAUGGAUGGUUUAAUAUUGUAUUAAAUCAUUCACGGCGAAAAAUAAGUAAGGGC